CUUGCCCCGAACGCUACCCCACCGCUCUUCUUAUCCACCUUUCUUCACCGCUCGCUCUGGCACACAGAGACUGACCUCGUGCCGGCGACAAGGCUCAUCCCCGACCAGAUCCCGCCACCGUCGCGGCAGCAGGGGUAAGGACGAGGAGGAGGGGGGAUCCACGGAGUCCCUGCUCGCGGGUGAGCGGCGUCACGAGGGGGUGUGGAGGGGGGAGGGGGAGAGCCUGCCGGCGAUGUGAUUCUUUUCUUCGGCUGGAGGCGGCGUCCGUCGGCCUCACGCCGGCAGUAGUUUUGGGAUUUUGCGGAGGCUCCGAGGUCAUCGGGGAUACGACGCCGCGACUGGUGGUGGUGGACGCGCGACGUGGAGCUGCCGCCCAUGGCGAUCCUCGCGCGCCGUCCCGUGCUCCACGUCCAGCACGACCAUGUGUUCGCGCGCGCCACCUGCUUCCCGUCUUCGUGUGUUGCCGGCGGUGGAACACGACGGCGGCCUUCGUCUCCUUCGGAGUGGCAGCAGCAUGACGAGCAGCACACGCGGCGUGGCGCUCUGACGCAGAGCUUGGCAUGCGCGGACGCGCUGCCGCGGUUGGCAUGCGCGUACGGUGCAGAAGUUCGAGCUAGCUUUCUCCGUUCUAGGAGAUUCUGAACCCGUUGGUGGUACUGAGGCUCUCCGGGAUCGUCAUGGGUGAGCCGGACCCCCAUGGCGACCACGGCCAACGAGUCUGGAUGCAUUGGUCAUGGUGUUCCUAGCCCUGGCAAGCAAAUCAGUUGGUGUGUCGCAUUUUCACUAGUAGUACCAUUUUGUUCUCAUGCUCUGAUUUGCUACUAGAUAACUUUGCGUUUUUAUUGCCUGAUAUGUUCUGAUUUGGAGGCACUGAUGGCAACUUAACAUUUGUUGUACAUGGAAAUUUUGCUAUGAUUUUUCGGAGGACAAAAAACAUGACAAAGUUAUAGACGUUUAAAAACAUGGCAAAUUGCCAUGGCAAUUUAAGAUGUCAAAAACAUUUGUUCAAAACUUGCCAUGGCAAAAAAGAUUGAUCCUUUGAAAUUUGUUUUGCCAUGGGGAUUAACUUAGAUGUUUUCUCCAUUUAAAAAAAUCUAUCUGUGUAGAGAGAACAUUUUUCACCACAUUUUUUAGAUGUGUUUUUGUCAUGGCAAAUUCACUAGAUGUUCCAUGGCAAAUUUCCUUUUUUCAAGACGAUGCAGACUUUUCUUUUACCAUGGCAAUUUUUAAAUUGAUUUUCCAUGGCAUAUUCACUAGAUGUUCACGGCAAAUUCAAUUUAAUGCCUAUGGUAAGUUUCUCUUUUCAGGACGAUGUCAAUAUUUUUUUACCAUUGCAAUUUUUAAAGUGAUUUUGCCAUGGCAACACUAGAGAUCCCACGGCAAAUUCAAUUUAAUGCCCAUGGCAAGUUUCUUUUUUCAAGAUGAUGUCAAUUCUUUUUUACCAUGGCUAUUUUGAAAGUGAUUUUGCCAUGGCAAAUUCACUAGAUGUCCCACGGCAAAUUCUGUUUAAUGCCCAUGGCAAGAUUCUUUUUUUCAAAACGAUUAUAAUUUUAACUACGGAAUCUAAUUGCUGCAUAUGUUCAUGUAUGAUUUUUUUUGGUAUUAUAUUAGAUGGCCAAUUAUUUCUGUACACUGCAUGGAAAAAUAAUUACUGUAUAUGGUCUUUUGUUAAUUUUCUAUUUUUGUACACAUAGUACGUUUUAGGCAUUUUCAUGUUUGUUAUAAUUUUUUUGUAAACAAAGAUCUUUUUUGUUCCUGGCAACUUUUGCUUUCUUAAAGACAGAUGGCAAUUUCUGGUUUGCAUCACUGAGAUUUUUUAGUUCUCAAUUUUCUCCUUCUAAUGGAAUUUUUUUCAUAACAUGGUAACAUCUGGGUUCCUUUUCACAAUUCAAAACAUGUUUUUUUUAUUCACAGUACAAACUGGGCGAUACCGGGCUUUUUUCUUUCUAUUUUUUAGUCACAAGGCCGACCUGUACGGGGGCUAUGUUGGGUUGUUCACGCUGGCUUGGCGGGGGGAGGGCGCUCGGGCUGGGGCUCCUCUCAUCCCGAACGAAUUUGUUCGAUCGAUGCCCACCCUGGCACCCAACGAUUCGUUCGGGCUGGGGUGUCUGCACGCCGAACGUACGCGCCUUAUCGGGGUCCUAUCUAUACUACUCCCUCCUUUCCGGUUUAUAAGACUAGCCACAAUGGAAGUAACUUCGAUAGUAACAUCGAGUCCAACUUAACAAAUUUGCUUAUGUGGCACUGAGUUAAUGAGGAAAGAUGUAGUACUAGUAACUUAGCUAGUUACUGUAACAUCACAUGUCCCAAUGCAAUAUGAGUCUAUAACCUAAUAAAUAAAGCUUUGCAUGUUACUACACUUAUGUUACUAUCCAUUAUUGAGGUAGUAACAUAGUCUAGGGAUAUGUGUAUGUUACUAGUGUAUGUUACUUUCCAUUGUGGCUAGUCUAAGGCUCAAUUCAAAAAUCUCACCAACCAAGUAGAUGGUGAGUGGUGGGAUACCUUUUGGAGUUUGCAAAAGCACCCAAAUUACUGCUCUUGUUUUCCUCAAAAAAGUAUGUUUACUAAUACAUUAAUUGUAAUGCAUGCAUGUAUGCAUAAAUUACAUGCAUUGGUCAAUUUUCUCUUGAUACUUGCAUGCAAUGAUUUAAUGCACUUUGAAAUCUGAACAUGUGAUGAGAAACAACUAAAUUGAGCCUUAUAAAAGGGGAAAAUUAAAAUUUUGAGAUAAGCCCUAUAAAUCGAAAAGGAGGGAGUACUAAUAAAUAAGGGAGGGAGGGAUUGUCGCCCGCUAAGAAAAGAAACAAAUAAUCGAUCGAUGGGUGGCGUACCAUCGACGUACCACGGGAUGGAAACAAUCGAUUUGAAAGGAGGAUGCGAUUGCGCUCGCCCCUUUCAUCCAUCCAAAUUGAUUCUCUCCUUCAUUACAUUGCAGGGAGAGGGAGACGCAGUUUCUGGCGGGCAAUGCACGGCAUCUGGCGCCAAAACGCUUCUCUCGUUCCCACCACAACUUUUGGAGGCAAAUUUUACCUGUCUAUAUAUAUACACGAUGAUCGAUCCAACACCUUCAGCUCCACAACACAAUCACACACCUGUGUCACAUGGCGCCUAUCCACGUCUCUUCCUCGGAGGUCAUCCUCCUGGACGACAGCGACGACGAGGAGCUGCUUGGUAUGAACAUCGCUGACAUGACCUUGCUUGACGACCUUGACUUCUCCGACAACAGCCACGGCAACAAGAAGACAUGUGUUAAUGCAGACGACGUUGUUGUUAUCUCCUCCUCCGGCGAUGAGGAGUCAGCUGCUGACAACGGCGCCACAGACUCCAACAGUGGCAAGUCGUUUGUCUCCACGGACUCAAAUUCAAUAAGCAAGAAGAAGCGGAAGCCAAGGGCCGAGUACAACUACUGGCACUCCAGCGACGAGCACUGGAUAAUUGAAACCGAUGGAAUGCUCCGAAGGAAGAAGAAAUACAAAGGCGGGGACGUACCAGUGCCGGUGCCAUACAGAAGUUAAAAAAGGGCCCGUCACCCAGCAUCUACCGUGGUGAACUUAGUGUGUCCCUUGUUCGUGGGAAACGGAGACAUUUGAUGGAUAAGUUUCGCCAGGCGGUAAAGAUGGGCGACAAGUACAAACCACUCAACACGCGCGAUAAAGACCUCUACAACUGUUCCAUUGCGGCGUGGCCACAUAUCAUUGAAAAAGAAGCUAGUACCAUACACGAUCAUGAAUAAUAUAGAUAUAGUUUAUACUAGGAAAAAGGCCCGUGUGUUGCAACAGGAUUUUUUUCCUACAUCAUCCUAAUAAAAGAGAUAGAGGCUCAUUCA
rnacentral:rRNA from 1 species